UUGGAGGGCAAGUCUGGUGCCAGCAGCCGCGGUAAUUCCAGCUCCAAUAGCGUAUAUUAAAGUUGCUGCAGUUAAAAAGCUCGUAGUUGAAUUUCGGGACCAUCAUGUCGGUCGUGCCUCGGUACGUACUGGUAUUGUUGGUUUCUCCCUUCUGACGAACCAUGAUGUCAUUUAUUUGGUGUUGUGUGGAAUCAGGACUGUUACUUUGAAAAAAUUAGAGUGUUUAAAGCAGGCUCACGCUUGAAUACAUUAGCAUGGAAUAAUGAAAUAGGACGUUUGAUUCUAUUUUGUUGGUUUCUAGGAUCGAUGUAAUGAUUAAUAGGGAUAGUUGAGGCAUUAGUAUUCAAUUGUCAGAGGUGAAAUUCUUGGAUUUAUUGAAGACUAACUACUGCGAAAGCAUUUGCCAAGGAUGUUUUCAUUAAUCAAGAACGAAAGUUAGGGGAUCGAAGACGAUCAGAUACCGUAGUAGUCUUAACCAUAAACUAUGCCGACUAGGGAUCGGAUGAUGUUAAUUUUUUAAUGACUCAUUCGGCGCCUUACGGGAAAC
rnacentral:rRNA from 1 species